GUGGGACCGGGGGUCCCGGCGUGCCUGGGGAGCACGCCUCCGGGAACUGCGAGUGAGGGGCAGGGCUUGCUCUCCCGACAGCCCUGAGCGCGCCUCUCUCCAGGGGAAGGGUGGCUUCUCUUCCUUUUCCCACGUAGGGAGAGAGAUACGUUUUCCAGGUUGGGCUGACCGCUCAGCUCUUGGCCGUGCUCACCCCGAGGGUGGCGAGGAGACCACCCCAAAUACAGCUGGGGCACACCUGAGGCUGGGGGCAGCGCCGGGGCAUCUUCUUCUGCAGCUUCUUUGUGCCCUGGGGCAGGUAAACAGCCCCGCAUCCUGCUCUCCAAUGACCCAUCACUUGCAUCAGAAUACCCUUUGGCGGGGAAAGCCAGGAGAAGAAGCUGAGUAACUCCCUAUUCGCUAUUUGCUGGCAGAGGCAGGAAGCGAGCUGGAUCUGGGAUUUCCCACUGUAGGGACCAGAACAAUAGCUUCGCCGGCACAGAUGUGGGA
rnacentral:lncRNA from 1 species